AUAGACGGCUGUUAGUAUACAGAGGACUGGGCUGGCAGUAUAUAGGCGGCUGUUAGUAUACAGAGGGCUGGCAGUAUAUAGAUGGCUGUUAAUAUACAGAGGAUUGGGCUGGCAGUCUAUAGAUGGCUGUUAGUAUACAGAGGGCUGGCAGUAUAUAGACGGCUGUUAGUAUACAGAGGGCUGGCAGUAUAUAGACUGCUGUUAGUAUACAGAGGGCUGGCAGUAUAUAGAUGGCUGUUAAUAUACAGAGGACUCGGCUGGCAGUAUAUAGAUGGCUGUUAGUAUACAUAGGGCUGGCAGUAUAUAGACGGCUGUUAGUAUACAGAGGGCUGGCAGUAUAUAGACGGCUGUUAGUAUAUAGAAGGC